AGCUGUACGGGUCGGACGCGCAGGCUGGGGGCGGGAGUGGAUUACCGGGCGAGCAAACGGGAUUUGCAGACAGAGACCUUUUUAUUUUAGACGAGUACACCAGUCGCUUCGGAACAGUGGGAGCGCGGCUCAUCUCAUUCGUUUUUAAGUCAUUGGCUCUUCCAGGUGCCGCUCUGCGGGAAGUUGGGGCAGCACGGAGUCUGCCAGCGGUCUACAGGAAGUUUUGGGGAGCACAAGGUUGUCUGCAAAGAGCGGCGGUGGGCGUGGUCUACCGUCCGAAGACACUAGGUCGAGCCAUUCUGACUGUUGCGUUUUUGGAUUUUUGACAUCAUUUUGUACUGGUAGCCCAGGAGAGACACCGUCCCUUUUUAGGGAUUUGAACUGAGUAUUUGCUUAGCCCUGCCGUAGGCAAGAGCAUGGAGAAAGCUCAGAACUGGUUCUACCAUCGUGAAAGCGUAUCUGUCAGAUUUUGGUGAUUUAGACCCAUUAAUUCUGCUGCAGUCUUAGAGCCCUUGGGGUAGGCUCUACACCUGUGCAUGUAUGUAAUAACCCUCACAGACCCUCUAGUAACUGCCUGCCGGCCCCUCUGGCUUGAUGCCUGGGUUUGCAGGGAUCUUCAAAGUCUUUAGGCCCAAAAGUUCUCAGGCCUGGCUUAGUUGGGGAGGUAGUAUCAUUCAUUAUCAAUGGAGAAUGGAGCAUUUAUCAAUGACUCCUUCGAGGGCAGCCCCUGCUGAGAUUGAGGAUGGGCAGGGAGUAGUUGUUCAUUACUAUUUGUUCAUGCAAACUAUCUUGCUAAAAAAUAAAAGCCCCUUCUCCCUCCCACCCCAAAGUGUUCAGAAAAUGUAAUUUUAAGGACCUGUUCUGGGGUAAACUAAAGGAAAGAGACAUAACCUCACCUCACGGGACUGGCAGUCUAGUGGGAAGGGCAAGGAAGGCAUGAAAGGAUUAAAUAAUAAUUAAGGCAGUGGUAUGAGAAAGCUGCGGAGAUCCAGAUGCUUUUUAAUAAUUCCACUGUUUGGCAGUGAUUAAUUGCCUCGUUUAGCAAUUCUUAUAGGCAGGUGAUAGAGACAGGAGCUGAAUUUAAGGAAGGAUGAGGUCAUUGGUGUGGUCAGAGAAGACUUAGGGUGAGCGGGGCCCCCGGCUCCAGGGAGGUAGUGGCGUUGGAGAACUAAGGGUGAGUAGGCAGUGAGAUGUCCAUGCAGGGCACAGGGAGCAGACUAAGUUUGCUUGUGGUUUGCUUUGAGUUUUGAAUAAAGGAUGAACUUGGGGGACCCAGUGUCUAUCUUAACAAGAUGAAAGAUGAAAUUACCCAGGUAAUUUGGUAGUUUGGAUUUUAGUUCUCAUUGCGAGAAACUUAUGAAACCCCUUUAGUUCUUGACUCCAGUCCUCCUUAUGAAGGUAUGGCUGUGCUAGAGAGUGAGACCUAAGCUUGCAAUGUAGCACCAACUCUCCUGAUCUGGACCCCAGAAGCUGUUAGGAGGACUUUCUGUCCUUGUGGCAACAGACAUCAUCCCAGUUUUUCAGAGGAAAGAAUGCUAAGAAGCUGCUGGCUUUCAAAUUGAACCACUGGUGGGGGCUGGCCCCAUGGCAGAGUGGAAAACUUGCAGCGUGAGUGAGGACGGCAGGCGGUGUUCCCUCCGGGGGCCACUGUAGCUUGGAGUGAUUGGUCCAAAUCCCUGGGGACGUCUUUCCUUUAUAGAUGCCUCUAGGAAUUAAAAUGCUGUUUUGCUUGAAUUCAGCGGUACUUAGAGCCCCUGGGAGUGAAGAGGUAUAAAAGCAACUCCCACACUGCAUUUGCAUUUGGAAUCCUGUUGCUGCUGGUGAUCAGGAAGAAGCAUUUAGAGAGAACUUGGCAUGUGCCACAUCCCAAUGGGAUGGGAAUGCAGUGGCUGGCUUCCUCAGGUUCCAGGAGGUUCCAGUAUUGAUUAUUCUUAAAGUAUAAUUUACACAAUCAUGUGUGGAAAUCCAGGAAAGGAUGCUGUUUGUAAGAGAAACAGGGGCUUCGUCGUUUCAUUUUUGGAAAUCUCGCCCUUUAAAUCUCGAGCGCACUCGCUGCCCAGCCCAAAGCACACAGUCUUCAGCACAUGGGUUCUCUCUGGAUGGCUGUGCGGACAGGCCAGGACUCUGGUCCAGCUCUGUGAUCGUUUCGUUCACACGGUGAAUCAUUUGGCCACUCUGGGCACCAGUUUCUUGCUCUAUGAGGGCCUCCAGAAAGGAAUGCUGCCCUGCCCCCACCUUGAUUUUAGCCCAGUGAGACCCGUGUUGGACUUCUGACCUCCAAAACUGUGGAAACGUAUCAUGCUCUUUUCUGUACCUUGAUAUUUUUCACUUAAGUGAUUUUGGAGAUUCUUCCAGAACAGAACAUGUAGAUCAACCUCAUUUUGAGUGCCGUGUAGUGUUCCAGGCACCAGGUGGACGUCGGCUGCUGAAGCAUUACAGCCCAAACCAGGAAUGUGGAAGGGAAGUUCUCUCAAAGCUGAACACUGAACAGUUGUCUGCUUCGUCUGGAUGGAGAGAUGGCCAGAGGUGUGUGUGCAGUUCAACGCUGACCUCAUACCUAAAUGUAAGGUCUUUGAGGAGCGGUCUUCUGUCUUGUUCAUUGCUGUAUCUCUACUGUCUAGAACAGUGCCUGGCACGUAGGCGACACUCAAUAAAUAUUGUUGACUUGAAGUCAAGUUCUCUUCCUUGAGGGAAAAGUUGUGAUAUGUGUAUUUGAAUAUAUCAAGAAUGGAUGUCAAUCCACAAAUUCAGGUGAUGAGAAAUAUGGUUGGUAUCUCUUUAUUUUUUGUACUGUAUGUGUAUAUAUAU